rnacentral:rRNA from 1 species
GUUCUUCGGAACUAGAGACCGGCGCACGGGUGCGUAACGCGUAUGCAAUCUACCUUUUACAGAGGGAUAGCCCAGAGAAAUUUGGAUUAAUACCUCAUAGUAUAUAGCCCUGGCAUCAGGAUUAUAUUAAAGUCACAACGGUAAAAGAUGAGCAUGCGUCCCAUUAGCUAGUUGGUAAGGUAACGGCUUACCAAGGCUACGAUGGGUAGGGGUCCUGAGAGGGAGAUCCCCCACACUGGUACUGAGACACGGACCAGACUCCUACGGGAGGCAGCAGUGAGGAAUAUUGGACAAUGGGCGCAAGCCUGAUCCAGCCAUGCCGCGUGCAGGAUGACGGUCCUAUGGAUUGUAAACUGCUUUUAUACGAGAAGAAACACUCCUUCGUGAAGGAGCUUGACGGUAUCGUAAGAAUAAGGAUCGGCUAACUCCGUGCCAGCAGCCGCGGUAAUACGGAGGAUCCAAGCGUUAUCCGGAAUCAUUGGGUUUAAAGGGUCCGUAGGCGGUUUAAUAAGUCAGUGGUGAAAGCCCAUCGCUCAACGGUGGAACGGCCAUUGAUACUGUUAGACUUGAAUUAUUAGGAAGUAACUAGAAUAUGUAGUGUAGCGGUGAAAUGCUUAGAGAUUACAUGGAAUACCAAUUGCGAAGGCAGGUUACUACUAAUUGAUUGACGCUGAUGGACGAAAGCGUGGGUAGCGAACAGGAUUAGAUACCCUGGUAGUCCACGCCGUAAACGAUGGAUACUAGCUGUUGGAAGCAAUUUCAGUGGCUAAGCGAAAGUGAUAAGUAUCCCACCUGGGGAGUACGUUCGCAAGAAUGAAACU